rnacentral:rRNA from 1 species
AUUGAACGCUGGCGGCAGGCCUAACACAUGCAAGUCGAACGAGUGGCGGACGGGUGAGUAAUGUCUGGGAAACUGCCUGAUGGAGGGGGCUAACUACUGGAAACGGUAGCUAAUAACGCAUACCAUAAGAUGGGGCCAGAUGGGAUUAUCGUGUUGGUGGGGUAACGGCUCACAAAGGCGACGAACCCUAGCUGGUCUGCGAGGAUGACCAGCCACACGGGAACUUAGACACGGUCCAGACUCCUACGGGAGGCAGCAGUGGGGAAUAUUGCACAAUGGGCGCAAGCCUGAUGCAGCCAUGCCGCGUGUAUGAAGAAGGCUUUCGGGUUGUAAAGUACGUUCAGCGGGGAGGCGUUACCCGCAGAAGAAGCACCGGCUAACUCCGUGCCAGCAGCCGCGGUAAUAC